AAAUUGAAGAGUUUGAUCAUGGCUCAGAUUGAACGCUGGCGGCAGGCCUAACACAUGCAAGUCGAGCGGCAGCGACAACAUUGAACCUUCGGGGGAUUUGUUGGGCGGCGAGCGGCGGACGGGUGAGUAAUGCCUAGGAAAUUGCCCUGAUGUGGGGGAUAACCAUUGGAAACGAUGGCUAAUACCGCAUGAUGCCUACGGGCCAAAGAGGGGGACCUUCGGGCCUCUCGCGUCAGGAUAUGCCUAGGUGGGAUUAGCUAGUUGGUGAGGUAAGGGCUCACCAAGGCGACGAUCCCUAGCUGGUCUGAGAGGAUGAUCAGCCACACUGGAACUGAGACACGGUCCAGACUCCUACGGGAGGCAGCAGUGGGGAAUAUUGCACAAUGGGCGCAAGCCUGAUGCAGCCAUGCCGCGUGUGUGAAGAAGGCCUUCGGGUUGUAAAGCACUUUCAGUCGUGAGGAAGGUAGUGUAGUUAAUAGCUGCAUUAUUUGACGUUAGCGACAGAAGAAGCACCGGCUAACUCCGUGCCAGCAGCCGCGGUAAUACGGAGGGUGCGAGCGUUAAUCGGAAUUACUGGGCGUAAAGCGCAUGCAGGUGGUUUGUUAAGUCAGAUGUGAAAGCCCGGGGCUCAACCUCGGAAUUGCAUUUGAAACUGGCAGACUAGAGUACUGUAGAGGGGGUAGAAUUUCAGGUGUAGCGGUGAAAUGCGUAGAGAUCUGAAGGAAUACCGGUGGCGAAGGCGGCCCCCUGGACAGAUACUGACACUCAGAUGCGAAAGCGUGGGGAGCAAACAGGAUUAGAUACCCUGGUAGUCCACGCCGUAAACGAUGUCUACUUGGAGGUUGUGGCCUUGAGCCGUGGCUUUCGGAGCUAACGCGUUAAGUAGACCGCCUGGGGAGUACGGUCGCAAGAUUAAAACUCAAAUGAAUUGACGGGGGCCCGCACAAGCGGUGGAGCAUGUGGUUUAAUUCGAUGCAACGCGAAGAACCUUACCUACUCUUGACAUCCAGAGAACUUUCCAGAGAUGGAUUGGUGCCUUCGGGAACUCUGAGACAGGUGCUGCAUGGCUGUCGUCAGCUCGUGUUGUGAAAUGUUGGGUUAAGUCCCGCAACGAGCGCAACCCUUAUCCUUGUUUGCCAGCGAGUAAUGUCGGGAACUCCAGGGAGACUGCCGGUGAUAAACCGGAGGAAGGUGGGGACGACGUCAAGUCAUCAUGGCCCUUACGAGUAGGGCUACACACGUGCUACAAUGGCGCAUACAGAGGGCGGCCAACUUGCGAAAGUGAGCGAAUCCCAAAAAGUGCGUCGUAGUCCGGAUUGGAGUCUGCAACUCGACUCCAUGAAGUCGGAAUCGCUAGUAAUCGUGGAUCAGAAUGCCACGGUGAAUACGUUCCCGGGCCUUGUACACACCGCCCGUCACACCAUGGGAGUGGGCUGCAAAAGAAGUAGGUAGUUUAACCUUCGGGGGGACGCUUACCACUUUGUGGUUCAUGACUGGGGUGAAGUCGUAACAAGGUAGCGCUAGGGGAACCUGGCGCUGGAUCACCUCCUUA
rnacentral:rRNA from 1 species